GAUGAACGCUAGCGGCAGGCCUAAUACAUGCAAGUCGUGGGGCAGUAGGAUUGUCGUAAUACAGUUACUGGCGACCCGCAAACGGGUGCGGAACACGUACGCAACUUAUCUUGUACUGGGGGAUCGCCCGGGGACACCAGCAUUAAUACCCCGUAAUAUAAUGGUGCGGUGUCAAUUUGUUAUUAAAGCUCCGGCGGUUCGGGAUGGGCGUGCGGCUGAUUAGGUAGUUGGUUGAGGUAACGGCUCACCAAGCCUACGAUCAGUAACUGGUGGGAGGGCACGCCCAGUCACACGGGAACUGAGACACGGACCCGAGUCCUACGGAAGGCAGCAGUAAGGAAUAUUAGGCAAUGGAGCCAACUCUGACCCAGCCAUGCCACGUGGAAGAUGAAUGCCCUCUGAGUUGUAAGCUUCUUUUGUAGGGGACGGGAGCAAUGUAUUCUUACGCAGUUGACGGUACCCUAGGAAUAAGCACCGGCUAACUCCGUG
rnacentral:rRNA from 1 species